GACUCAUAAAAGUAAAAUCAAAUCAAAUCAAAUCAAGUCCAGCCAAGGCAGCCCAGGAGGAGGAAGACAGACAGACAUCUGCCGACCACCAUGCUACCUACAGACCUGCCCUCCAGCACAAGGCACAGCUCAGGACCACAGCUGAUGGUUUGCUGCUGCCCAUAUUCAGAAAUGUCGGCCAUCCUGUUAAGCCUCUCUGGCAGCACCCUCCCACGUACUCCCAGAGGUGCCUCCUAUGUGAGUCCAGAUGCAGUCAAGAUGACAAUGAGGGUUAACCACCAUUUCACCACACUGUGAUGUAGCCAGGAGAUGCCGAUUGGAGGGAAACAAUUGCUGGUACCAUGCUCUUAAACCUCCAAAAUGGUUAAAUAAACUCGGGGUUUAAAAAAGG